AAAUGCAUUUGCCAGGGACGUUUUCAUUAAUCCAGAACGAAAGUUAGGGGAUCGAAGAUGAUCAGAUACCGUCGUAGUCUUAACCAUAAACUAUGCCGACUAGGGAUCGGGUGGUGUUCUUUUUUGACCCACUCGGCACCUUACGAGAAAUCAAAGUUUUUGGGUUCUGGGGGGAGUAUGGUCGCAAGGCUGAAACUUAAAGGAAUUGACGGAAGGGCACCACCAGGAGUGGAGCCUGCGGCUUAAUUUGACUCAACACGGGGAAACUCCCCAGGUCCAGACACAAUAAGGAUUGACAGAUUGAUAGCUCUUUCUUGAUUUUGUGGGUGGUGGUGCAUGGCCGUUCUUAGUUGGUGGAGUGAUUUGUCUGCUUAAUUGCGAUAACGAACGAGACCUUAACCUACUAAAUAGUACCUAUUAGCGUUUGCUGAUUUGGGACUUCUUAGAGGGACUAUCGGUUUCAGCCGAUGGAAGUUUGAGGCAAUAACAGGUCUGUGAUGCCCUUAGACGUUCUGGGCCGCACGCGCGCUACACUGACGGAGCCAACGAGUAUAUCCUUUGCCCAGAGGUACGGGUAACCUUGUGAAACUCCGUCGGCCUGGGGAUAGAGCAUUGCCAUUUAUUGCUCCUUCACAAGGCAAAUCCUUAG
rnacentral:rRNA from 1 species